GGACGUUCUUAUUAAGGAAAUAUAGUCUAUAUGCUGUGUCUAUAGGGUUUUCGGGUUUUUUUUUUUUUUUUUUUUUUUUUUUUUAAGCAGGGGGUGUGUCUACUUCUUCUUCUUCUUUUUUUUGGCUUCUUUUUCUUCUUCCUCCUCUUGUUCAGUUAAAUUAGCGGUUCGGCUCAGGAGGUGUGUUCUUUUUUUUCCGUUUAGAAACCCUAUCCAUUGUUCCACUCUUACGGCGUAGUAAAACACGCCCCCAUCCGAACCGCCAGCCAAUCAUGUCCAAGUGUCCGUCCCUUCUUCUCUAGCUCCGCCCACAAACCUAUAUUAAAGCCUCCUACAUCGCAUGCCGACGGCAUUAGCUUAGAAGAGCUAUAAAGUAAACAGCUUAAUAUUGAUUAGAGAAGAAUCAACGCGAAGCGGAUUUACUUAAAUAUUUUCUUACGUUUUUUUUUGGCAUUAUUUAUAUUAUUUAGUCAAUAUAAAAAAUUUAAAAAAGACAACCAUGGCAGACACCAAGGUAGAUUCCGCGACGGAAAUUUCCGCCAAGGUAAGAAACACGGAAAAGGAGACAUCAAUCGUUGGGGGGUUUUUUCAUUCAUUUUAUUUCCUCCCGAUCUUUACUAGUUCGCGCGCGGACACCGAUGGAGAUCCCCACGGUAUCGUGCCCAAGAAAAACACAACAGAAAAAAAAAACAGAAAAAAAAGAAAACCCACUGAGACCGUUUUAGAUCACAUCAGAGUGAUUAAUUUGGAAUCCAAUUUGGAAGUAAAUCAACAAAUAUUGUUCUUAUUGUCCUGAAUGGGGCUUGCUAACGUUAACAUCGCGCGCGGGUUCUUUGUUUAUAAGCUACAGUCGGUUCUCGGUUCCUCUUUGAACCCGAGCAGCGCCGCCGGACAUGAGAAUGAUUAUUAUUCUAAUUAUGAUUAUAAUUAUGAUUAUUAUUAUUAUUACACCGACAAAUCACUGGUUGAUCACUCGCGUUGAUUGAUCUAAUCAUUUCCCCUGCUCUAAUAUGAUUUCAUUUGCACGCUGUUUGAUUUAUUAGGCCUUUAUAAUUAUAUUCCCGCGCCUUGUGCACAUUCUCAGCAACUUUAACAUUCUCUUACUGUUUAUAACUUGUGAAUUGUUUAUCCGUGGGAUCCUGACAUUACGCGUUUUUGAUGUGCAAGUUUAUUAUUUUCGGUUUGGAGUUUGUGAUGUCUCGGUGCUCGAGCGUUAAUUUCAUUUCAUUUGAUUUUUUUUUUUUAAACGUUCAUAUCCCAUCCAUCACACAUCAUUUGUCUGUAUCCUAUUAAUAGGCGUAUUAAUAAACUGGUUUGUUUUUGUUUAUUGGAUAUUCUCUCUCUCUCUCUCUCUCUCUCUCUCUCUCUCUCUCUCUCUCUCUCUCUCAUGUGCCCAUGAAGCGUUCUGGAUCGAGCCUGAUCUGAUAUCUUGUUACUUCCGAGUGUACAUUUCGGAAGUGCUGUUAGUUUGUAUCUAGAUUAUGUUCAGGGGUGCAGUGAUGUUUUUGUAGAUGUGACUAGAUGAACACCUGUGCUGCGAGGUGAUGUACACAUUCGGUUUGUUGCAUGCACUCUGUAGCCUAAAUAAUCCUUAUUAUUAUUAUUUUUUUUUUAAAUUAAUGCUAUUAACGGAGGUGCAUCGCAAGUAGAAUCUGAAUUACACCCGGCAUCAGAGAGGUGUCACAUACUGUCAAAUACCACCACUUCUACUACCACUGCUACUAAUAAUAAUAAUAGCGUAAUAAUAUAUAUUUUUAAAUAGCAUUGGGAUAAUUUGGUGGUCGCUCGUGCGGUGUGCUUGAUCUAAACAGAAAACCGUCGAGUCGGUUCUGAAAUUCGGAUAUGAAACGCACGCUCGUUUUCUCCAUGGCUUUCUGACUUCGGGACUUUAGUAGCGUGUAAAGUGAAUCAUCUGCGGUUUUUCCUAAUCGAGCACGUUUCGGUGAAAAGCCGGAUAAAGUGACUGACCGCCUCCGGUUUGUUCUUCUCGACCUAAAUCCGGUAGAUAGAUAGCGUGAAAGCAAGCAGGAGGGAGGGAAGGAAGGAAGGAGGGGGAGUGGAUUGCGCUCUUCUGGCUGCGCACCAAACCGCAUACUGUACUAGAUAGUACGCAACCUAUUGCUGUGCGCACUGUUUGUGCACUAGGUGUGCAUACUAUGUAGUACGGUAGUGUGUGUGUGUGUGUGUGUGUGUGUGUGUGCGGUAAUGGUUGCGCGCUCCAGAUUGGCGCACUGUUUAGUGCGCGAGGGUGCGCUAUGCUUUUUGGGAUUAUGGUCUCGGAUAUGAUGAGAGAGAGAGAGAAAGCCAUGCGCCAGGCCUUCUUUGUCCUUUCAAAGUCUUCCAAGUCAGCUUGUUUUCCCACCCCUGACUCGCCUGAAUCUUAACGACCGUCCCUUCUUUUUUUUCUUUCUUUUUCUUCCACGGGUGUGUCCGCCUCCUAGCAUAUGGCGUUCACGAAAUUGCCCGAACUACAAUACCCAUGGUAUCUCAAUAACACUGAGGUGUCGUAUUACAAAUCAUCUACCUCUUAAGUAGGCGGGUCCUUACGCCAAAUGAUUGACAGCUGGAAAGCCUCUGUGUCAGCCAAUGACGUUGUUCUGACCCUGGCUGCACUUUCACGCACAGGCUCACAGAGGGCGCUCUUGUCCACCUCCCACCCCCUUUCCUCUCACUCACCGUUUGGCCCAAGUCCAUUGGACGUAAUGAUGGUUUUAAAUAGCAAGGGCACUCUCGUCUAACAAGGCGUCGUGUUAAUGGGUGUGUUUAAUCAUUUUACAGGACUUGAAGGAGAAGAAGCUCCUUGAGGAGAAGGAAAAUGGAAAGGAGGCCACUAAUGGAAAGGUGCCACAUACUAAACGAUUCAUUUCGGUCAAGAUUUGUUCAUGGGUUGACUGAGACGAGGAGGGUGAUCUUGGUAUAACGGAAAUCUGCUUUAACAGGAAAAUGAGGAGAACGGAGAGCCUGAGAUUGAUGAGGAAGAGGAGGAUGAAGUAGACGAAGAAGACGAGGAGGAAGAUGGAGAGGGUGGGUGUUGCAGUUUCCUAAAAGUCAUUUUAACUUCUCGUAGAUGCGUCUGAUGAUGGAAACCUGGGUGCAAGUCUUGACUUAAUAUCGACUUUCUUAUUGCAGGAGAUGAAGAUGAGGAGGAGGACGAGGAGGACGACCUGGGCGGAGGAACGAAACGAGGGGCUGAUGAGGAUGACGAGGACGAUGAGGACGAGGUCGACCCGAAGAAACAGAAGACGGACGACGAUGAUUAAAAGGAUUGUUGGAUGCUACUGAUCCGGUGUAGAGCUCAUCUUCAGCACAUUUGUUGGAGCCAGUGGCAUAAAGGACUCAAACAUCAAACAUGGUCAUUUUUUCCCCCCCAAGUUCCUGCGUCUCACCCACUAACCCCCAAUGCAAAAUUUUCUAGAGGGAAAAGUCCACCACCCAGAUCCCCAACACGACGACAAAGUUCACAAGACGAGGAUUUGUUUGUAUUUUUAUUUACAUUUUAUAUUUUUGUACAUAUUGUUAAGGGAUCAGUCACUUGAUCGUGAUCUCCUGUGACCAAAACGGUGCUUCUUUAUGAAAUUUUACUUGUUUGACCAUGUCUCGCAAACUUUGGAAACAGAAACAUUUAUAAAAAAUAAUAAAAAAAAUUCAGCCAUUUAACUCUGAGCAUUCCAGUCAGAUUUUAUGUAUGAACUUUAGUUGUACCAUAAACUAGUUUUGUUUCGUUUUUGUUUUGUUUGUAUGGGAGGGCUAGGCCAAAGAAAAGGAGUUACUUUUCUUAUUGUUUUUCGUUUGCAUUUGUUUUACCUUGGCCUGUCUGUGUGUGUGAAGUUUGUUCAACAAUAAACCUGACUUUUAUUUUGUGAGUUGUACUUGACCUCUCUGUUUCCUUUGGUACAUCUCUGCUACCAGAAGCUUGAGUUCAAUUCACAGGACUGCUCGAGCAUCGCUUAAGAUCUUCACUAAAGCUAGUUUAGAAAGCCUGCAAUGUUGAUCUUAAUGUCAUCUGCUGUGCCUUAAAUUAUUAGUACUCAAUACAAGCAUGUAUGGGGAUGCUUAUUAUUGGGUUAAAAUAUGGAUAUAAUGUCUCUGGGUCAUGACCUCUACUGUAAAAUGUAAAAAGUUAAGGAAAAAAGGAUAUGGUGUACGGAGAUCUUUUGUGAGGAGUUUUGUGUUGGAAAUUAGAGCAUCGCACACAUGUUUGUGUUUGGGGAUGUAUUAAAUAUUUGAAUUUUGUUAAAGAUCAGUGCCCAAUAAAAUAAAGUACAUCAUAGCAGUUUUAAGAACAAGGAUGGCCUGUCGUUGACAAGUCCGAGAAUGACAUGGAAGACAGCAUGAUGAAGAAUUUAUUCUCUAGUCAAGGAAACUGUUUGGAUGAUGGCGCUGCACUGGGUUCCAUUAUCGGUUUGCGUUAAAUGCAUCAACCAUGAAGCACCUUGUGCAAUGUCUGAACUUACACUAGUGCCCACAUGUCAGCUCUGCUUAUUAAAAAGAAACAACUGUAACUUGAUCACCAUUCGUCCUCGUUAACAAUUGAUCAACUUCUCAAUGUCUGGUGAAGUUGACCAAAGUGCAGUGAAGCCUGUAUCAUGCGAAAGGUAAAGUGGAAAUCUGCUCUGAAUAUUUGAGAUUCAUCUUUAUAAUUAACAUGAUCUUGAACUUGAUUCAAGAUAGACUUUGU
ensembl:lncRNA